rnacentral:rRNA from 1 species
GACGAACGCUGGCGGCGUGCCUAAUACAUGCAAGUAGAACGCAGUUGCGAACGGGUGAGUAACGCGUAGGUAACUGCCUAUUAGCGGGGGAUAACUAUUGGAAACGAUAGCUAAUACCGCAUACUUUGAGAUGGACCUGCGUUUGAUUUGCUAAGUGGUGAGGUAAAGGCUCACCAAGGCGACGAUACAGAGCCGACCUGAGAGGGUGAUCGGCCACACUGGGACUGAGACACGGCCCAGACUCCUACGGGAGGCAGCAGUAGGGAAUCGUCGGCAAUGGACGAAAGUCUGACCGAGCAACGCCGCGUGAGUGAAGAAGGUGUUCGGUUCGUAAAGCUCUGUUGUUAGAGAAGCGGUAACGGAAUAGAAAGCGACGGCUAACUACGUGCCAGCAGCCGCGGUAAUAC